rnacentral:rRNA from 1 species
UACGUAGGGUGCGAGCGUUGUCCGGAAUUACUGGGCGUAAAGCGCGUGUAGGCGGCCAACUAAGUCGGGCGUGAAAUCCCACGGCUCAACCGUGGAAGUGCACUCGAAACUGCAUAGCUAGAGUCCUGGAGAGGAAGGUGGAAUGCUUGGUGUAGAGGUGAAAUUCGUAGAUAUCAAGCGGAACACCGGUGGCGAAGGCGGCCUUCUGGACAGUGACUGACGCUGAGACGCGAAAAGCGUGGGGGAGCAAACAGGG